GAUCUCGUAUGCUUUACAUUCUAAACCUCAGAGAGUAAGCCCGCAGAUAAAGUCAUGUGCAAUUAGCCCCUCUCACACCAAGCCACACCAGGCCACACCAGGCUAGGUAGAGUUCCACCAUAAGCACCAGAUGGCACAAGUCUUUAGAACUCCAGGGAAGGCUGAGCCACUGAAGGAUAGGGCUAUUUCACACUGCAGAGGUCCACAGUUUUAAAGAGUCCUCUUAUAUCCAAGGACCACUUUGGAGACUUACUCCAACACUAGGGCAUGGAGAGACAGAGAGGACCUAGCUAACCGCUGGAGCUUUGCCAAGGAAUGAAUGCCCCAGGGUCUUCUUCACUUCUAGGACCAGCAAAGUCAACUGACCAGACUUCUCUGAACCCACUGACUCAACGGCAAAUGAAACACCAAGUGCCAUGCUGUCCUGGAUAAAAUGGCAAGGUGGUGGCAGCGCAGGCCUUUAAUCCCAGUGCUCGAGAGGCAGAGGAAGGCGGGAGUCUCUGAGUUUGAGACCAGCCUGGUCUAUAGAGCUAUUUCCAGGACAGCCAGGGCUACACAGAAAAACCAGGUCUCGAAAAUCAGAUCAAAACAAAACAAUAACUACAGAAAGACAAGGUAUAAUAAAGAAGCCCUACAACGAAUGUGAAGAAUUACAGCCAGACUGGCUACUGCUCAUUCCAACAUUUGCCUCUAGACACAAGCGACUCAUUUUUUAAGGGAGAUGGAUGGACAGAGAGCCUGGAGAACUAUGAGGAGACAAGGUACCCACCCAGACGGACACCUUGCCCUCUGCUGGAUGUAGGAGAAGGAGCUGAAGCAGGUGCAUAUAGGGAGGUGGAACCACCAGAUGGCUAUGCAGAUCUGUGAGUCUAAAAACAAUUGCUCAGGGCUGCAGAGAUGGCUCAGCAGUUAAGAAUAUGCAACACUCUUCCAGAGGAUGAGAUCUGGUUCCCAGCACCCACACUGGACACAGGCUCACAAGGCCUGUUACUCCAGCUUUUGGGGAGCUAAUUUCCUCUAGAUUCCCAGGGCACAGACACGAUGCACAUAAGCUCAGGUAAGCAUACAUUCACACAUAAAUAAAAAUAAAAACAGAGAGAACAAAAUAAAAGCAACCGCUCUGAGGGUCUCCUGGUCCCAAGGUCUUAGAGACAGGCUAGCCUAACAUUUCUAAUCUCCUUAGAGAACAGUUUUGUUUCCAUGCCAACAUGCCUACAAACAGCGCAGAAGAGAAGGGCAGUCAUUAAACAGGUGAGUACACAGAACGGUCGAUCAGAGUGUGUACUCACCGGGAGAUUAUGGAAGCAACCCAGGAAGGUGACAUUCAACCCAGACAAGACAGUGCAACUCCAUGGAUAAUUGCUAAACUAGUGUCCUCUGGGGUUUUGAAAUAGCAAAGACUACUUAAAGCUCUUCAGUGAUGCCUGUGCACCAGGUAGGAAGGAACCAGUUCGCACCCUCACCCUACAAAUGAAGGCAGGAAGCCUGAUCUAUCCCCACCUCAACAGCAGAAAAGAACUACAAAACCACACAGACCCGGCAUGCGCGGAGCUCACCCGGUCCUCUCAGCGCUAAGCCUCUGGUUCCUCAAUCCUAAAAGUGGGGACUACAGGAUCUACCACAGAGCUCAGAGAAAAUGAAGCCCUGUGUAUAAAAUAACAGCCCCUGAUUUACUUCUCUCUCCUAUAGAAUUACCAUUGUUGUGAAUGUGUGCUCAAACAGUAAUUACGAGGUCUAACCCAGCAUUUCCUUUUCCUGUGGUUGGUGACUUCUGUAUUAUGAAGUCUCAGACCACAGCUGCAGCCCUGAACUGAAUCAUUCUGAGACUCACAUCAGUGUCCCAGAUGUCUGAAGCGCAGAACAAAAGGGAAGACCUCACGCGAGGGUUCUACAUCCAGGGUGUGUCACAGAGAUGAACAGAGCAAGGCCAAGGCCUCCCAAAGGUAUAGUAUCCUCAUGUGGAUGGAUUCUGUCACUCAACAGUUAAAAUGGAUGGUCACUUGCCAAAUCUUUACUGAUAUUGUCUCGGUGGCAAGUUUAAGAGAGUUCUGUUUCAAAGUUAGAUAUAUUACUACUUGCUAAGUUCAUUCAAUCAUUCAUUCUCUCUCUCUCUCUCUCUCUCUCUCUCUCUCUCUCUCUCUCUCUCCACCUCCCCCACCCCCACACACACUCUCUCUGUAUGCAUGUGCAUAUGAGAUUUCAUGUGUGUGAAUAUGGCUGUGUGCACAGCACAGUGUAUGCAUGAAUGUCAAAGGACAAAGGACAAGCUUAGUUGUCACCCUAUGCCUUCCACUUGUUUGAGGCGGGUUUUCUUGUUCUCUUUGGUUUCUUUAGAUGAACAUGGCAGACCAUCUGAUCACUGCACUUCCUGAGACUCUCCUGUCUCUGCCCCCUGUUCUCUGCUGGAGUAUUGCGUCAGGGUUUUACAGAGGUUCUUGGAAUUGGUCCCCAGGCCCUCGUACUUGCAUAGCAAACGCUUUGAACCACUGAGGCAUCUCUCUAUUUACUGAAACAAUUGUCAAAAAGUUUAGUGAACUGUUUUAGUUCAUGACCAACACAAUGCCAAAUCAAAUGCGUUUUAAUUCCAAUACCAAGCCCAAGCUGGCUUCUAAAUGCUUUUUUUCUGGUAUUUAGAAGGUUUCUUAUCUAGCUCAAGAGAGGUGAGCCAUCAGGGAAUUGGAGAUGCUAUCCAAGUGGGCAGUAAAAAUACUUGUGUCCAAAUGAUCCUGGUAAGUCUGGAACAUUAGGCUUCUCUCUCCUCAGGCCCCUAUGCUUCAUGCAGUGGCAGGCACUGCAGAGAUCACGCUGACUGAGCCGACGCUCCGCUGUUUAUCUGCCCUGGCCUCGCAUUGUUUUGAUCUCAAACCCAUCUUCAGCUCCUAUGAUGUUCACAGUAGUGUGGAGACAUGGAAAGGAGUCAGCUGUUGCCUUCAGGAAGCAAACAGCCCAGUAGUGAACAAGAAAUGCACACACUUCUUCAUCAUGGUCUCAAGGGCCCCCAGAUCAAGCAUUAAGGGCAAGCAGGGGAAGGAGUGGAUAUCCAGAAAGGGCUCGAGACAGGCAAAGGUGGGGAAGGAGGGUGAACUUCUCUUGUUUCUACCUUCCAGACUGCUGGGACCUAGUGUUUAUGCAGGGGUUCACAGAUGUACUCUGCCAAGUGAGAACACACCAUCCCUGAGUCUUAUUCAAAACCAACGACCAGAGAGAAAGCAGAAACUGAACACGCAGCAUAAAGGUAGACACCGAGGCUCAUCGGAGGGCAAGAAGCAUCUUUCCAUCGGGGAUUCCUGCAGCCCAGGACCAUAUGAUGUCCCUGAGUUAGGAGGAACAAACAACUGCUGUUCAUUUUAACAUUAUUUUGCAGGGCGUGUAUCCCAGUUUAUCCAGAGGCAUAGCAUAUGCUAACCAGGGAAGAGUUGAAGCCUCCAGCAGGAAGGUGGCCAGGUGUCUCCUGUCUGCUCCUUUUCUCUGGAGCUUCACAUACUCCCCAGGAGUUGAAAGGUCAUCAGUGGGUAAACAUAAAACUUCAAGCCACUGA